UACGUAGGGGGCAAGCGUUGUCCGGAAUCAUUGGGCGUAAAGCGCGUGUAGGCGGUUCGAUAAGUCUGCUGUGAAAGUCCAGGGCUCAACCCUGGGAUGCCGGUGGAUACUGUCGGGCUAGAGUGCGGAAGAGGCGAGUGGAAUUCCUGGUGUAGCGGUGAAAUGCGCAGAUAUCAGGAAGAACACCCGUGGCGGAAGGCGGCUCUCUGGGACGGUACUGGACGCUGAGACGCGAAAGCGUCGGGGAGCAAACAGG
rnacentral:rRNA from 1 species